rnacentral:lncRNA from 1 species
AAAAGAAGAAAAAUGAAAAGGUGACCACCAGGAGAAUGAAGUAUAUUGGAGAAAGCAAUCUGAUGUUCAGAAAACUUACAUAACUAGUUCAAGAAUAUGCAGACCCAGACACUCUCCAGACUUGAUCCCAAGAGCUACAAUUCUUUCUACUACUCCCCACAGGAAAAAGUGAAAUCAGCCCUAGUACAAAAUAUAGGCUUUUUUUUUUUUUUUUUUUUUGAGACAGAGUCUCACUCUGUCGCCCAGGCUGGAGUGUAAUGAUGCGCUCUCGGCUCACUGCAACCUCUGGCUCCCGGGUUCAAGCAAUUCUCCUGCCUCAGCCUCCUGAGUAGCUGGGAUUACAUGUGCCCGCCACCACGCCCCGGCUAAUUUUUGUAUUUUUAGUAGAGACGGGUUUCACCAUGUUGGUUAGGCUAGUCUCAAACUCCUGACCUUGCGAUCUGCCCGCCUCGGCCUCCCAAAGUGCUGGGAUUACAGGUGUGGGCCACCGCGCCUGGCCAAAAUAUAGGCUCUUAUGGACUCCUCUUUUAUACUCAAGGAAUCAUGGAGACCAAGAUCCAGUACAUAC